rnacentral:lncRNA from 13 species
ACCCAACAGAGAACAAAUGACAGGAGUACAAACAUUCCAUAGAUACCGUCAGAGAAGUCUUCAUUCAGGACACCUCAUUAUUCACUUAAUUAUUCAUUUUGUUUAUUUACAGUGGAGAUAUUAGACAUAAUAUGGUGUAAGUCCCUAGCAUCCUCAAACACCAGAUGCUGGCUUUUCUCUCCAGACCCAAAAGGAAAAACCAAAGCAUCACUGUGAGAAUUAACAAAAGUCCAAUUAAAUUUCUUGCUAGAAUGUUAAUAUCCCGAAAAUAAAAGCAGCAAAUUAAAAAUAAGCUGCUAGUCACCUCCCUCACUGCUUUUGCACACAUUUGAAAUGGCAAUAGUCUGUGUUUAAAACAAACAUUAUCAGAUAGACAAGAAAAUUUUAAAACUGAUUUUGAAAAACUAAAUACAUAAUGCUACACCUUUGUCUCGUCUCAAAUACAGGUCAAAGGGAAGAGCUGCUAAGGGCAUUGCUCCUUGAUAUGACGAGUUAUGCACAAAUGUUCCUACAAAGGCAUGGGAGAUGAGGAGUCUCCAUGCAGAAUAUAGAGGACCACAGCAGGGGUUGGAAGGAUCUCAGAGGUCAUUCUUUCAUCUCCCUGCCCCAUGGCAGAAUGGGCUAAGCUUAUCUUGGCAGGAAUAUAAAUGGAGUAUAAAGCACAUUCAUCCUCAUUCUAACGUCCCUUUACAGUGCAAGAAUGACAUAAAAAGGACCAAAUAUAAAUAAUAAAUGAAGACAAUGCAUGAAAGAAUACUAUACCCAGUCAAUAUGAAAUCACAAGGUGGUACUAUACUUAUGUCAAUCAACACAUUUUUAAAAAUCAGACCUCGUGAAAUAAACUUGGAAUUAUGAGUCUGCUGUAUUAAUCAUAGAAUUGUGAGAGCAUUUACUUUGGAAGAGGCCUUUAAGGUCACCAAGUCCAACUAUUAAUGUUGUUUGGCUAUGACAGCCUCUGUGAGGGAUUUGAUCCCAUACAAGUGGCAUUCGGAUUUUGAAAUUACUGUAUAAAAGCAAUGCAGCAUACCUUUAUUCAGAAAUUUUUGAGGAAUCUUUCCUGAAUGGUUUUAUAGGAGACUUACAUCGUUGUUCUCUUGUUUUACUAUUAUGUUACAUUUUAAUGAUUGUGUUAGUUUGCAGAUUAUUGAAGACCUGCAAAUAAUUGAGUGGACAGCUCAUUAUUUUUACCACAUUUGAACACUUAAUGCAAUACACAAACUGCAUUGGGAACAUCUUUGAGAAAUACGGGGCUAUGUCAUUGAGAGAAAUAAUUUUCUCAUUUUUAGCCCAAAUAGAAGUUUUGAAGUAAAAUAUAACUGAAGGAUUUUUGUGUGCAAGUCCAUCUUUGAAUCUUUCCAUCUUUGAUACCAAGACCCCUGUUAAGAGCUAUAGUCUUGCUGAAAGCAUGAUAAAAGUAAUUUCAAAGAAAGUAGGUGCAAGGGAGAGCAAAGCUGACACUGAAGAAUUUCCUCUGUUGUCAGAAGGCUGUGGAACACUAUUAAUUAGCAGCUAAAAUAUAAUCUCAUUUUUACGCUUCCUAGGAGAAAGGAGCAUGCUGUAAAACAAUACUGAAUGAUAUAUCUAUAUAAAAGAUCACAAAUAUACUUUGAAAGUCUUUGACUGUUUACAUUUUCUUAUGACAGAGUCUAGGUUUUAUUUUUUCAACAAUGAUUGGAAGGGUCCCAGCCAUUUCAAGUUUAGCUUAGCCUGUGUUUAGCAAUUCUGGUAAAAGUAAAUGUUUGGGGGUUUUGCCUCAUAAGUCUUUAAGACUAUCAGAGUGCCCUCCAGCUUUCUUAAUCUGGUGUCUGUGGAUGCUGAAGCAGUAUGAGGGGACUGAACUGCAGGGCUGAAGCAGUAUGAGGGGACUGAACCCUGGCUUCUGUGCCCUUUCCAAACAGUGUUUCCCACAAGCACCAUUGGAGGCAGGCUAUUGAACUUAACAGACUACAGACCUGACCCAUAGGGCAUUUCUGAAGUUCAUAUUACUUCAGGAGGACAAAGGUGCCUAAAUGUCUUUAUGUCCCUUGUCCUAUGUACACCAUUUCUAAAUUUUUUUGUUCCAUAUUAUAGGUAGAGAAUUGCCAUGGAGAACAAAGAACUGCAGUGAUGAAUCACUGCAAUGGAGAAC